UAUGGUACUCCGUGCUCGCUACAGCACCACACUGCGCAUGCGCGGCUAUUAGCGCGGCCAUUUUGUCCAUGCUUUUAAUUAAAUGACGUCAUUUUGUGUAAUUGUGUUGGAGCAGUGUGUCGGGGUGGAAAGAUGGAAACUGUGGAGCACACAGAGUCGUACUUUGACUUCAGCGUGUCUCUGCACUGGAGUUCAAUCAGCUCCAUUUAGAGACUCGAGUCCACUCCACUGAUGAAGAUUGACAGCUGGGCAGUAUCAGAUGUGUCACUGCUCUCAUCCACAGCAAGGGAAAGGAAAAUGUUCUGGAGCAGCCAGGAAGGAUCUUCCAGCCUGAUACUGCUGAAGAUAUGGCGAGGAUGGACGACAGCGAAACCUGGACAUCUCUGAAGAAGCAUACAUGUAAAAGUUUAGAUUGUGUUAUUUCACCCAUGUUUGAAUCACUAAUAAAAGCUGGCGUUAUUGU